CAGUCGAGGGGUAUAGUUCUUCGGAACUAGAGACCGGCGCACGGGUGCGUAACGCGUAUGCAAUCUACCUUUCACAGAGGGAUAGCCCAGAGAAAUUUGGAUUAAUACCUCAUAGUAUUAUAGAAUGGCAUCAUUUUAUAAUUAAAGUCACAACGGUGAAAGAUGAGCAUGCGUCCCAUUAGCUAGAUGGUAAGGUAACGGCUUACCAUGGCAACGAUGGGUAGGGGUCCUGAGAGGGAGAUCCCCCACACUGGUACUGAGACACGGACCAGACUCCUACGGGAGGCAGCAGUGAGGAAUAUUGGACAAUGGGCGCAAGCCUGAUCCAGCCAUGCCGCGUGCAGGAUGACGGUCCUAUGGAUUGUAAACUGCUUUUGUACGAGAAGAAACACUCCUUCGUGAAGGAGCUUGACGGUAUCGUAAGAAUAAGGAUCGGCUAACUCCGUGCCAGCAGCCGCGGUAAUACGGAGGAUCCAAGCGUUAUCCGGAAUCAUUGGGUUUAAAGGGUCCGUAGGCGGUUUAGUAAGUCAGUGGUGAAAGCCCAUCGCUCAACGGUGGAACGGCCAUUGAUACUGCUAGACUUGAAUUAUUAGGAAGUAACUAGAAUAUGUAGUGUAGCGGUGAAAUGCUUAGAGAUUACAUGGAAUACCAAUUGCGAAGGCAGGUUACUACUAAUAUAUUGACGCUGAUGGACGAAAGCGUGGGUAGCGAACAGGAUUAGAUACCCUGGUAGUCCACGCCGUANACGAUGGAUACUAGCUGUUGGGAGCGAUCUCAGUGGCUAAGCGAAAGUGAUAAGUAUCCCACCUGGGGAGUACGUUCGCAAGAAUGAAACU
rnacentral:rRNA from 1 species